UACGGAGGGUGCAAACGUUGCUCGGAAUCAUUGGGCGUAAAGCGCACGUAGGCGGCCCAGCAAGUCAGAUGUGAAAGCCCUCGGCUUAACCAAGGAAGUGCAUUUGAAACUGCUAGGCUUGAAUACUGGAGAGGGUCGCAGAAUUCUCGGUGUAGAGGUGAAAUUCGUAGAUAUCGGGAGGAAUACCAGUGGCGAAGGCGGCGACCUGGUCAGAUAUUGACGCUGAGGUGCGAAAGCGUGGGGAGCAAACAGG
rnacentral:rRNA from 1 species